AGCAGCAGCCGCGGUAAUACGGAAGGAGCUAGCGUUGUUCGGAAUUACUGGGCGUAAAGCGCACGUAGGCGGUUAUUCAAGUCAGAGGUGAAAGCCCGGGGCUCAACCCCGGAACUGCCUUUGAAACUAGAUGACUAGAAUCUUGGAGAGGUCAGUGGAAUUCCGAGUGUAGAGGUGAAAUUCGUAGAUAUUCGGAAGAACACCAGUGGCGAAGGCGACUGACUGGACAAGUAUUGACGCUGAGGUGCGAAAGCGUGGGGAGCAAACAGGAUUAGAUACCCCAGUAGUCCCUGUCUCUUAUAC
rnacentral:rRNA from 1 species